GACGUAGGCAGCGAGCGUUGUUCGGAGUUACUGGGCGUAAAGGGUGUGUAGGCGGUUAUUUAAGUUUGGUGUGAAAUCUCCCGGCUCAACCGGGAGGGUGCGCCGAAUACUGAAUGACUUGGAGUGCGGGAGAGGAAAGUGGAAUUCCUGGCGUAGCGGUGAAAUGCGUAGAUAUCAGGAGGAACACCGGUGGUGUAGACGGCUUUCUGGACCGUAACUGACGCUGAGACACGAAAGCGUGGGUAGCAAACAGG
rnacentral:rRNA from 1 species